rnacentral:rRNA from 1 species
GACAGAGGGUGCAAACGUUGUUCGGAAUACUGGGCGUAAAGCGUGUGUAGGCUGCUACAUAAGUCGGAUGUGAAAGCCCCGGGCUCAACCCGGGAAGUGCACUCGAUACUGCGUAGCUUGAGUCUCGGAGAGGUUGGUGGAAUUCUCGGUGUAGAGGUGAAAUUCGUAGAUAUCGAGAGGAACACCGGUGGCGAAGGCGGCCAACUGGACGAAGACUGACGCUGAGAACACGAAAGCGUGGGGAGCAAACAGG